rnacentral:rRNA from 1 species
AACGAACGCUGGCGGCAUGCCUAACACAUGCAAGUCGAACGAGACCUUCGGGCCUAGUGGCGCACGGGUGCGUAACGCGUGGGAACCUGCCCUUAGGUUCGGAAUAACUCCCCGAAAGGGGUGCUAAUACCGGAUAAUGUCUUCGGACCAAAGAUUUAUCGCCUUUGGAUGGGCCCGCGUUGGAUUAGCUGGUUGGUAGGGUAAAAGCCUACCAAGGCGACGAUCCAUAGCUGGUCUGAGAGGAUGAUCAGCCACACUGGGACUGAGACACGGCCCAGAAUCCUACGGGAGGCAGCAGAGGGGAAUAUUGGACAAUGGGCGAAAGCCUGAUACAGCAAUGCCGGGUGAGUGAUGAAGGCCUUAGGGUUGUAAAGCUCUUUUACCCGGGAUGAUAAUGACAGUACCGGGAGAAUAAGCACCGGCUAACUCCGUG